CAGCCGCCGCGGGAAUACAGAGGGUGCAAGCGUUAAUCGGAAUUACUGGGCGUAAAGCGCGCGUAGGUGGUUUGUUAAGUUGUAUGUGAAAUCCCCGGGCUCAACCUGGGAACUGCAUUCAAAACUGACUGACUAGAGUAUGGUAGAGGGUGGUGGAAUUUCCUGUGUAGCGGUGAAAUGCGUAGAUAUAGGAAGGAACACCAGUGGCGAAGGCGACCACCUGGACUAAUACUGACACUGAGGUGCGAAAGCGUGGGGAGCAAACAGGAUUAGAUACCCCAGUAGUCCCUGUCUCUUAUAC
rnacentral:rRNA from 1 species